GAUGAACGCUAGCGGCAGGCUUAAUACAUGCAAGUUGAGGGGCAGCAUGAUAUACGCGAGUAUAUUGAUGGCGACCGGCGGACGGGUGAGUAAUAGGUAGGAGACCUACCUCAUACAGGGGGAUAGCAUAGAGAAAUCUGUGGUAAUACCCCAUGAGGUUAUAUGAAUAGAGGCAUAUAAUCAAAGCAUAAGCGAUUAUGCGGUAUGAGAGGGGCCUACUGACCAUUAGCUAGUUGGUGAGGUAAGGGCUCACCAAGGCGAAGAUGGUUAGGGGUUUUGAGAGAGAGACCCCCCACAUUGGAACUGAGAGACGGUCCAGACUCCUACGGGAGGCAGCAGUAGGGAAUAUUGGGCAAGUGGGCGAAAGCCUGACCCAGCCAUGCCGCGUGAAGGAAGACGGCCUUAUGGGUUAGUAAACUUCUUUACUACGCGAAUAGAGGUUAGUACGAGAUACUAAUAGGAAGGUAGUGUAAGUAAAAAGCAACCGGCUAACUCCGU
rnacentral:rRNA from 1 species